GAGGGUAUAGCUCAGUGGUAGAGUGCCUGGUUGGCAUGCAUGAGGUCCUGGGUUCAAUCCCCAUUACCUCCA
rnacentral:tRNA from 1 species